rnacentral:misc_RNA from 1 species
AAGUCGUAACAAGGUUUCCGUAGGUGAACCUGCGGAAGGAUCAUUAGCGAAGUUCGGAAUGCAUGUUCGAUGUUGAUGCUGCCCAGCAAUGGGAUGUGCUCGCUUGGAUGUGUGUCCCUUCUCUAUCCACCCCAUUGUGAACCAAGUGUGUGAGCCGAAGAGAAAUCGGAUGCUCGCAUGCAAACCUUUAACAUACCCCAAUUAAGUAUCAGAAUGUACCUUGCGUUAACUCGCACAAAUAUAACUUUCAACAACGGAUCUCUUGGCUCUC